CAUUAUAGUUGCGCAGGCACUUUCUUGACUCUAGAGAACCUCGGGCCAAUCGCACAUCACCGUGACGGCGACUUUGCAUUCGGAUGUCAUCCAUAUCAACUUUCAAUGCCAGUUUCUGCGCCUACCAUGGUGACCACAGGUAACGGGGAAUCAGGGUUGGAUUACGGAGAGGGAAACUGAGAAACAGCUACCACAUGCAAGAAAGGCAGCAGACGCGCAAAUGACCCACUCCCAAUGCGGGAAGGUAGUGA